CCUUACCUGUGACUCAGCAAUCAUCCUACCCAAAGCGAUAAAAGCACUGCUCUUAAAUUUUGUGGAUGUGUACUAAACUACUUAGAAAUUUUGCAUGCCUCGGCAAUGUGCACUGCCUGGGUUUUAAUGAUCAGAAUCCAUUACUCAUCCUGGUUAAAAUACAUCCUGGAUUGGAUAGAGCAUCACCACUAAACUUAGAGGAUGAUUAUUACAGGCAUACACCUGGGUUUUGAUCACUGGGUUCUCUAUGACGAUCUGAAGUCAUCAUGAAAUGAAGAUUUCAACCCCAUGCAGGCAGAUUUUAAUGAAGAAUUCACCAUCCAUAUUGCUUGCUAUGUUUAUGAAACAGAGGCUGACCCUCAUGGAGAUGUGCCAAGAGGAUUUGAAGAGGAGGGACACCAUACAACUGUUCCAUUCAAUCAACCCAAUUAUUAUAAGCAAAAUCUAGAUUAGCCAAUAAAGUGUGUGGGCCACCUGUUCCUGGUUUUCUUUUUCACUCUGUGACCAAGAUGACACUUUUUGGAUUUUCUUCAUUAUACUGUUUGUUCCUGUUUUGACCAUUGCCUUUUAUUUUGCUAUGUGGGUUUCUUGCAGUCAUCUGUGUGCUAUUCCAGUUAAACUUCAAUCCUCAACUAAAC